rnacentral:rRNA from 1 species
CCUACGGGAGGCAGCAGUGGGGAAUAUUGGGCAAUGGAGGAAACUCUGACCCAGCAACGCCGCGUGAAGGAUGAAGGUUUUCGGAUUGUAAACUUCUGUCGCGAGGGAUGAAGAAUGACGGUACCUCGUAAGAAAGCCCCGGCAAACUAUGUGCCAGCAGCCGCGGUAAUACGGAGGAUCCGAGCGUUAUCCGGAUUUAUUGGGUUUAAAGGGAGCGUAGGCCGGCUUUUAAGUCAGCUGUGAAAGUCCGCGGCUCAACCGUGGAAUUGCAGUUGAAACUGGAGGCCUUGAGUGCACACAGGGAUGCCGGAAUUCAUGGUGUAGCGGUGAAAUGCUUAGAUAUCAUGAAGAACUCCGAUCGCGAAGGCAAGUGUCCGGGGUGCAACUGACGCUGAGGCUCGAAAGUGCGGGUAUCAAACAGGAUUAGAUACCCUAGUAGUC